CCCCUUCUGAAAAGCACUUGCUGGGUCUGUGCUCAGUGGCUCAGGGAGUUGUCGUGGAAGGGUAUAGCAAAGGCAUCGCUUUUGGGUGAAGUGGCAGCAGCAUGUGUUGUUAACUUCAAUCAGUGGUGCAACAGUC
rnacentral:snoRNA from 1 species